GAAGAUGUAACGGGGCUAAACCAUGCACCGAAGCUGCGGCAGCGAACGUAUCACCCAAGACAACUUUACGGAGUUGACGAUUGACGGAGCGAAGCGACGUCAAAGCGUUCAUUAAAGUCGAGUUGGCUUAGGGAUACGUUCGUUGGGUAGGGGAGCGUUCUGUAAGCCUGUGAAGGUGUGUCGUGAGGCAUGCUGGAGGUAUCAGAAGUGCGAAUGCUGACAUAAGUAACGAUAAAGCGGGUGAAAAGCCCGCUCGCCGGAAGACCAAGGGUUCCUGUCCAACGUUAAUCGGGGCAGGGUGAGUCGACCCCUAAGGCGAGGCCGAAAGGCGUAGUCGAUGGGAAACGGGUUAAUAUUCCCGUACUUGGUGUUACUGCGAAGGGGGGACGGAGAAGGCUAUGUUGGCCGGGCGACGGUUGUCCCGGUUUAAGCGUGUAGGUGUGUGUUCCAGGUAAAUCCGGUUCACUUUAACACUGAGGCGUGACGACGAGGCACUACGGUGCUGAAGCAACAAAUGCCCUGCUUCCAGGAAAAGCCUCUAAGCAUCAGGUAACACGAAAUCGUACCCCAAACCGACACAGGUGGUCAGGUAGAGAAUACCAAGGCGCUUGAGAGAACUCGGGUGAAGGAACUAGGCAAAAUGGUGCCGUAACUUCGGGAGAAGGCACGCUGACACGUAGGUGAAGUGAUUUACUCAUGGAGCUGAAGUCAGUCGAAGAUACCAGCUGGCUGCAACUGUUUAUUAAAAACACAGCACUGUGCAAACACGAAAGUGGACGUAUACGGUGUGACGCCUGCCCGGUGCCGGAAGGUUAAUUGAUGGGGUCAGCGUAAGCGAAGCUCCUGAUCGAAGCCCCGGUAAACGGCGGCCGUAACUAUAACGGUCCUAAGGUAGCGAAAUUCCUUGUCGGGUAAGUUCCGACCUGCACGAAUGGCGUAAUGAUGGCCAGGCUGUCUCCACCCGAGACUCAGUGAAAUUGAACUCGCUGUGAAGAUGCAGUGUACCCGCGGCAAGACGGAAAGACCCCGUGAACCUUUACUAUAGCUUGACACUGAACAUUGAGCCUUGAUGUGUAGGAUAGGUGGGAGGCUUUGAAGUGUGGACGCCAGUCUGCAUGGAGCCGACCUUGAAAUACCACCCUUUAAUGUUUGAUGUUCUAACGUGGACCCGUAAUCCGGGUUGCGGACAGUGUCUGGUGGGUAGUUUGACUGGGGCGGUCUCCUCCUAAAGAGUAACGGAGGAGCACGAAGGUUGGCUAAUCCUGGUCGGACAUCAGGAGGUUAGUGCAAUGGCAUAAGCCAGCUUGACUGCGAGCGUGACGGCGCGAGCAGGUGCGAAAGCAGGUCAUAGUGAUCCGGUGGUUCUGAAUGGAAGGGCCAUCGCUCAACGGAUAAAAGGUACUCCGGGGAUAACAGGCUGAUACCGCCCAAGAGUUCAUAUCGACGGCGGUGUUUGGCACCUCGAUGUCGGCUCAUCACAUCCUGGGGCUGAAGUAGGUCCCAAGGGUAUGGCUGUUCGCCAUUUAAAGUGGUACGCGAGCUGGGUUUAGAACGUCGUGAGACAGUUCGGUCCCUAUCUGCCGUGGGCGCUGGAGAACUGAGGGGGGCUGCUCCUAGUACGAGAGGACCGGAGUGGACGCAUCACUGGUGUUCGGGUUGUCAUGCCAAUGGCACUGCCCGGUAGCUAAAUGCGGAAGAGAUAAGUGCUGAAAGCAUCUAA
rnacentral:rRNA from 1 species